rnacentral:lncRNA from 10 species
CCUGUCUGCCCACCACAGGAGAGAAAAAUAAGCCACUGUAAACAGUAGGUGCCAUCUAGCCCUCUCCCAGAGAGCCUGUAGCGGGGCAGAAGCUUGGGGACCUUGUAGCUCUAGAGAAACACCAGGAGCCUGAGAUUCUGAAAGCCAAGAAGCUCAGGGAGCUGGCAAGGCUGGGUGACCUCCUCAAUCUGGUCCACACCCCCUUCCCUAGCCAUCUGGACUGAGCCUGUUCUGGCCUGGGCCACACUCUGCCCACUCGCCAACUAGAAGGCUCUCCCCGCCCUCUUCCACCAGCCAGCCCCGACUGGGUCAGCGGGCGCAGAGCGAAGGACUGAUGGGGGAGAAGUAACCCACUGGAAGAAAGAUGGGCGUCUGGUCAUCGGCUGGGGACAGGAACAGUUCCCUGUCUCAAAUACACAGCAUAUGGAUAACUCGAGGAUAGGAUGACCUGAAACAGGAGAAAAUAGACAUUUCUUCCUGCCUGCCCUGAGCAGAUGGAUUUAGGUUUUGGUGCUGGAGGUGGGGUUAAGAUCUCUUUCCCUGCCACUCCUGCUAAGGCAUUCAGCUAGAGAUUUUGGAAAGGGAGCAUUCAUUUUGGUUGGGCGCUCACUUCUGUCCUCUUCCUCAUGGACUGCAGGAGUCCCUUCAUCCCUCCCAAUUAUUCCCAAGGACCUAGGAGGCCAUAGAGGGUGAAAAAAGAUUUUCAGCAUGUAAAAAGUGCAGGCUCACUUAGAUGGCAGCUGGAAACAGGGGAAACAUGUAGGACCAAUGUAUGUGUAUCUGGGAAUGUGUGGGGUCUGCAAAUACACAUAUAUAGGCAAGAGUAUAAACAGGUGGGGUUAGGGAAGGAGAAAAAAACAAAAAAGAACUUUGGGUUACACCUAUUACUGGAAAUGGUAAUUGUCAGUGGAAGAACAGGACGUAGAACCUAGAGGUCAACUAGUGCCCCUACCCAGCCCUCAGUAAUGUCCCGAAUCUUUAUGACCAGAAUAAACAAGUUAAAGAGAGAAUAUUUUCCUAGAUACCAUUUAGGAUAAAUAUAGGGGCAGAGGGACCUCAAUACAACAGAUCAACUUCAAGGUCACUGAUUCAGUUUAGUAUAGCCAGUCUUCUCAGUAGCUCAAAAGGGAGAAUUCAGGUUUGGUGGGCUAGAUGGGCAAGAGAAAGCUGGAUAAGAAUUCUGAAGUUGUGGAUUGAGAACAUUUUGCAAGGAGAGUUGCACAUAUCUCUAGCAGCAGAGCAGGGAAAACGUCAUGAGGGGAAGGGCCAGAGGAAGUCAGCGACAGACUUGAGGGGAGAGGGCAUGGCCUCUCCCUAGAAGGGGAGAAGACACCAGCAAUGCCUCCACCUCUGUCUUGCAGGAAGAACUGAGUAAAGGAGCUGGACUAAGGAUGGAAGGCCCCAGGGUGGAGUCCAUGGGGUGAGUUUAGGUCAAACCUUUCACCCUAAUGUGCCUCAGUUCUCUCCCAGCUGUUAAACAGGGCUCUUCGUUCUUCCCAGGCAGUUAAUGAGUGUUUACAAAAGGGUUUGGAGAUCCUCAGAUCUCAGCUGGGCCACCACUACAGUUAUAAAGUUCAAUAAGAGCUGAGUGUUAUUUGGGGAGGAGAGGAGUAGGGGAAGGAAACAGAUACUCUCUUAUAAACUAAGGAUAAAACUAAGCUCAGAGAGAAGCACAAGCCUAGCUGCCACAGGAUAUCCUUGUGCCCAUGGAUGGAGGUCACCCCACCCCCCCAUCAACCACCACCAAAGGCUGGCCUCCAGCUAGCUGUAGGCAGAACCCAGACUAGCAGCUGGUCUUCAUUAACUCCAGCUUUUUCACCCCCCACUGUGAACCCACAGCUUCUACAGGCCUAGGCUAGAGGGGGCUGCCCUAGCCCGACCUUGCAGCUGACACUGGGGUGGGGGGCACCGCACCAAAGGCCAAGUUACCAGCUGAAAAGAAAGUUGAAGCAAGAGUCCUUUUUCCCAUUGGGAGCAAGAAGAAAGCAGUGUGGGGGUGAGAGGGUGGAGGUGGGGGAAUUUAGGGCAAACAGCAGGCAGUGAAGUCAGCUGGAUUGAGGCCCAGAAACCCCCACACCCUGGGGCCAAGUCUUACUCUAGCUUUGCUUUCAGCUUAAGUCUUGGCGAGGCCCCAAACUAGGGAAGGCCCUGGUUGCCCCUUUCCGCCUCCCUACCCCCACCCUUAUUAAAUACACAUUUUAUCUCUCAGCAUCUUCAUUAUCUUAACUGAAGGAGACAAGCAGUGGAUGGCGGCAGCAGAGAGCGUCAGGAGCGGGGGGCGGUGCGGGGAGCAGGCGCACCCUUGUUAUAAAGUGCUGAUCUAGCUCUUUCAGGCAGUGUGGGAAACAGAGGAGGGAUCAAAGGGAGUGAGGCUGAUUCAGAACUCAAUUAGAGCUUUUUAAAAAACGAAGCUGGCUCUCUCCUUUCACCAGUCUUCAGCCUUUACCCAAGCCCCUUGCACCCAAUUAACUUCCACUACCAGUGCCUUGGGGCUGGGGUUGAAAAUCAAGGGGAGGCCAGAGGGCACACCUUCUCCCCUUACGGAACACACCUCUUCUAAGAGGAAGACCUGCACUGUUUGUAGCUUAAGAGAAGGUAUCUUAGAAAGUACCUUAUCUUUUCAGGAAGAACCUGAGAUCACAACUUGCCCCAAGUUAAAAAGAGGGACAUCAAAGGUGGGCUCCUCCCUAAACCCUUGCCUACAGACCCAGCUUCUGGCCAAUCUAGCCACACUGAGUGACAUCCAGACAGGCAGCCCUCUUCACAGCCUGUAGAUAAGACUCUUCCCCUCAUAGCCAAAGCGUCCCACCAGCAACAUGGAAGUUGCCUCAAGCAAAAUGCCACUACAUCAGAGGGAGUGAUUGGAAUGCAUCUGUGAGGCUAAUAAAUGCUCCAAAACUGUGCCAAGACACAUUUUGUAAGACAGAGCACCCUUCUUAUGCAGGGGCCUGCUCCACCUCUGUGCAAAAGUACCACCAACGUUUACCUUCAGCUUAGAACUGUUCUCACCACUGAGGGAAAGGCAGUAUCUUAUUUGGUUCACUUAUCUGUUAAACAACUAUUGAGUACCUACCAGGUAUUAGGCACUAUACUAAUUGCUAGGCACAGAUACAAAUGUAAAUAAAAUUUCAAUCUUGGAUCUCUUUUGUCCUCCCUCAGCAGUCAAGGUAACACGUCUCAAGAUAUUUAAAAAAUAUAUAACCGGCCAGGCAUGGUG